CGUCACGUGACAAAGUCCCAUUCCUGCCGAGUGGAGCGAGAUUGUGAAAUCCAAAGAUCUUACGAUAGCAAGCAGGAGGUAGCUGUGGAAACUGCAGGGCUGCCGAGCACAUAAAGAGAGUAGCUUGGAUCAGACGAACACGAGGCCUGUAAACCAUUAUUCCAGGACACAAAAUGCUGCUGUUACAUCCGGACUCCGGUCUCUGAUUGAGCAGGACAAAAGCAGCGCCGCGUCAUCGCACGGAACCUGCAGUGGCGGUAUUUCUGAUCGGGGCACUUCUGUAUCUUUUCUAAAGCUGUUCAUAAAGCAUUUGUAAAUGCUUAUAGGAUCACAGUUAUGUUGAGUCGAGACGGAUCCGCCGUGGAGGAGAAGAAGUUGUUCUAACAUCGACGGCUGGCAACAGAAAAGAACUUUCAGCUCACAUCCUGCAACAUGAAGGCCUGUUAGCAGCCGAUUGCUCAUCUAAUGAGCUCAAAAGAAGAAUGCUGCACCAACAGAGAUAGUAGAAGCCAAAUGUGCCCAAAAUGUGCUAAAAGAUGGGGUUUGAAACUCUAACCCUAACUAAUCAUGUGUUAAAAGACAUUGUGUAGAUCGAUGUGAAGCUACGGAGGAUUUCAGAUCACUCCAAAGUCGUUAACUGCUCAUUAACGGGUAACACGCAGGAGCAGACCGGUUAACCGGUUAACCGGCAGCACUCUGCGCGGCGUCUUCAACCGGAGGUUCAUCGUUGUUAAUCGUCUCGGAAUGAGCUCGUGUUUUGGCAGUGAGAGGCUACAAACAGACGGGCUGGAAGCUCCCUCUGGAGACAACAGUCAUUUCCUCAGAAAACCGUCUGCAUUCCUGAGACACUGUCCAAUGCCCGUAAACAACAUUCCUGCCGUGGGACUAACAGGAGCCACAAAGACACGUGACUUCUGGCGACCUUUGGAGACAGUAUAUGAAAAGAGGGCGUAGUCAUUGGGACCUCAACCAUUGAUUUGCAUUUAGAAGCCUGAAGCCUUUUGGAUGUGGCCAUCUUGGACUGCCUCAUGUCUAACAUCUCUUCUCCCCGGGGACAAUCCGUGAAAAUGGACAAAGCAGACAGGCAGUUUUGACCGUGUGGCUCCAAUGUCAGAGACAAAUAAUCCAUCAUUAAACUCAAAGGCUGAGAAGUGGAGUGGCAUGCAGCUUAAUCCAGGCAGCUGGCUGCAAGGCCUAAAUGCAUGAUAAGAAAGACUUUUGGACAAACAUUCCAUGAGACAUUGAGCCUAUUUUCGUUAGUCGGAGCCCUGGUUGUUGCCGUCUGAGGCCUAGCUGUUCAUUUCUGUCAGGCAUGGCACUCACUUCUCACGCUAUCUUCUUAAAAUAAAGUCAAAUAUUCCAUUACUUGAUGCUAUUCCUUGACCAGAUAGGAGUUACACCCAGCCACUGAUUUUGAAAACACUGCUUGAUUAAGAGGAUGAUACAAUUACAAAGAAAUUUGCAGUCCAGCCCUCGUCUCAUUUCGGGAGUCACUUCAAAGGUGAUAUUUAAAGUAGGAAAAUACAGAUCCCAGAUAGCUUUAUCAAACAAUGCACAAACAAGAGCGCGGCAUACAACGCAGGCAGAGGGAGUUAAUCUGCUCACACUCCGCCCUGUGUAAAUGUCACAGCGCGAUAAGACAAAAAGCUUGUGUGCUGGUUGGUUGUUCAGCUUUGGAGGCAAGCCAACAUUUUCCCCUCCAGCCUACAGCUUUGUGCCUUUUUUUCUCUUCCCCACACCUCCAACUCCAACCGGCUGUGGUUUCACGCAUUCCUGGAUGGUUGGAGACUAAACUGCAAACAGAUAUUACCAGCAAUUAGACAGUUCCCAGUAAAUCUUCCACCCAAGCAAAUAAAGAAUCCACCAAAUAAGUCACAUUACCAGUGUUUGUAUAGCAGAGAGAAAUUACAGUAAAAGUGUUAAUACUGUAGAAUAUUGAAGCCAACUGACCCCCCCCCCCCCUCAAUGCUUGGGGAGUGAAUACUUGCAGGAUGUGAAACUGAUUCAGCGGGGAAAAUAUUACAGUUUGUUGUUGGCGCGUGUUUGAGGUGCAGGACUCAAUUAGGGGUCAGUUCAUGUCUUGUGUUUCCCGCUUUAAGAUUUAGCAAAAAAAGCCCCUUCUUGCUUUAGUGUUUGCUAACAAGGUCGCAAUAGCAGUUUUCUUAAACUUGCAUUUCAAUGUAAUGUUUACAGCUCACUUAGCUGCCACCGAGGAGCCAAGAAUCCGCUGUAGCCAAACGUUGAGUUCAAGUUUUAAAUCCUCUGUUCAGCAACGGCGGUGAUGAAAAGCAGCGGACGCAGACUGCUCUAAGUGAACUUCCAGAAGGGCUUUCUCUUAAAAUAACUUCCCAGUUAGGGCCUGCAUACCUCCCUCUACGCCCCCGACCCGACCACCACCUCCGCUGGAUGGAGCGCCCUCAGGGCCGCCUUCAGGGCCGCCUCUGGUCGCGGCACAUCUUUGUGCAACCAGAACUUGCACAUCUCCCUCUGCCUUGAUCAACAAAACCUGCCUUAUAAUGAGUGGAGAAAUUGUGAAGAAAAACC
ensembl:lncRNA